rnacentral:rRNA from 1 species
UGGGGAAUUUUGGACAAUGGGCGAAAGCCUGAUCCAGCAAUGCCGCGUGUGUGAAGAAGGCCUUCGGGUUGUAAAGCACUUUUGUCCGGAAAGAAAUCCUUGGCUCUAAUACAGUCGGGGGAUGACGGUACCGGAAGAAUAAGCACCGGCUAACUACGUGCCAGCAGCCGCGGUAAUACGUAGGGUGCAAGCGUUAAUCGGAAUUACUGGGCGUAAAGCGUGCGCAGGCGGUUUGCUAAGACCGAUGUGAAAUCCCCGGGCUCAACCUGGGAACUGCAUUGGUGACUGGCAGGCUAGAGUAUGGCAGAGGGGGGUAGAAUUCCACGUGUAGCAGUGAAAUGCGUAGAGAUGUGGAGGAAUACCGAUGGCGAAGGCAGCCCCCUGGGCAAUACUGACGCUCAUGCACGAAA